GACGUAGGGUGCGAGCGUUGUCCGGAUUUAUUGGGCGUAAAGAGCUCGUAGGCGGCUCGUCGCGUCGGUUGUGAAAACUUCAGGCUUAACCUGGAGCUUGCAACCGAUACGGGCGGGCUAGAGUUCGGUAGGGGAGACUGGAAUUCCUGGUGUAGCGGUGAAAUGCGCAGAUAUCAGGAGGAACACCAAUGGCGAAGGCAGCUCGCUGGGACGGUACUGACGCUGAGGCGCGAAAGCGUGGGGAGCAAACAGG
rnacentral:rRNA from 1 species